UUGCGCUACGGAGAUGGCAUUCCUCCUGCAGCUCAUCGCAAACCGCUGGAUUAGUUACGUAGCUGACUUAUCUGAUUGAGUCGCCUAAUUAAGCCAGCUAAUGAUGCCUACGCGUUC
rnacentral:ncRNA from 2 species